UACAGAGGUCCCGAGCGUUGUUCGGAUUCAUUGGGCGUAAAGGGUGCGUAGGCGGCUUCCUAAGUUUGAUGUGAAAUCCUGGGGCUCAACCCUGGAACUGCAUUGAAUACUGGGAGGCUAGAGUACUGGAGAGGAAACUGGAAUUUACGGUGUAGCAGUGAAAUGCGUAGAGAUCGUUUGGAACGCCAAAGGUGAAAACAGACAGCUGGGAGUGUGCUGACGCUGAGACACGAAAGCCAGGGGAGCGAACGGG
rnacentral:rRNA from 1 species